rfam:Myotis davidii contig131020, whole genome shotgun sequence.
GCCCGUGUGGCUCAGUGGAUAGAGCAUCGGCCUGGGGACCGAAGGGUCCUGGGUUCGAUUCCAGUCAAGGGCA